GCCUUUCUUCACAUCUUCCUUGAGUUCUUUGAACAUCUUUAAAACAGUUGUUUUAAAGUAUUUUUUGAGUAGAUCUACUAUUAGAUCUUUUUCAGGGACAGUUUCUAUUGAUCUAUUUUUUCCCUUUGUAUGGGCCAUACUUUCCUGUGUCCGUGUAUGCCUUGUGAUUUUUUUGUUGAAUACUGGACAUUUGAACCUAAUAAUGUGGUGACUCUGGAAAUUAGAUUCUCCCCCUUCCCCAGGGUUUGCUGUUGUUUGUUGUUGUUGUUGUUUUGAUUGUUGUAGGCUGUCUCUAUGCUGAGGCUCAGCCUGAGGGGUAAACCUAAGGUCUUCUCAGGUCUCUUCUGAACCUUUCCCUGUGCAGGUAUGGUCACUUUCUCAUUCCCCCAUAUAUGCAGUUGAUUUUGAGUGUCCUAGCCUUUAAUGUCUGGCUCCUGAAAGGGGAAAAAGUGAAAAAUGAAGAGGGAGAUGAAAAGGGUACCAACUCUUUAAGUCCCCUUGAAGUCAUUUUAGCCACAGAGGGAGGACCUUGCAACAAUUUGAGGAGGUUCAGCAACAAUGGCCACCUGCCUUUUUGUCUGCACCUCUGUGAUCAGAAGCAGCAAGCAGCCAUCAGAGUACAGAUUCCCGAUAUUUAGAAGACAGGGUGCUGUAUGCCCUGGUUCCCCCAAGCUGUGUGCAGAGUACUCUGGGAACAUGUGUAUAGCUGUCUGGCGCAUGGUUGGGGUUAGAGGAUGGGUAGCUGCUACUGUGCUAAUAGCUGAAAUUGGCCAAAAUUAACCAUAAUUUACUGUUCAAGUCUUCCUUUGGAAGUUGCAAGCCUUUGACAGACUCUGGAGUUCCAAAAUAGUUACAUCAGAUGGAUUCUGCCAGUGCACUUGUUGUCUGGGAGGGGAGCCAGAUUCCACUGAAUUCCUGUUUGACCAGAGAAGCGAAACCACCCUGAGUGAUAUGGGAUAAGGAACUGGAGAAGGAGUCUGGAGGUCUGUUGCCUCUGCAUCUGUGGUAGGCGUGACAUCACCAGAGGUCAGUUGGGGAGAAAUGCUGGAUAUGAAGUGGGGAGGAGCAAGGGCCACGUGGGAUCUGUAUCUGUCCCUCAGCACCUCUAUUCUUGAUGAUUUGGGUCAUCUGCAGAAGGACAUGGCUCCCUUUGCCGUGGAGAUGCGCACGUGCCUGGCCCAGGCAUUGGAGAAGCCGAAGAUCUGACAGGAGCUGGAGGCCCUCAGGACUGGCCGCUACCCAUGCUGACAAAGUGAGGCAGCAGGGCAGAGACAAUGUGCGUGAACUGCUGCGGCUCCAGCACCCCACACCGACCUCCAGAGCACAGUGGCUGCGGCUUCAGUUCUGCCUUUCUCUCUUUCACACCUCACACAUUUCUCUUGUGACCAGCCCUAACCUGGAACCAUCCACGGGGGGAUUCCCAAGAAACGUGGUUUCAUUUUAGCUAAGCUGACGUAGUACAAAGCCUCCACGUUAAUUCCAAACCUUCCUGGAGUUAAAAGGACACCUGUCCACUAGGGAACAGUUUUGCUAUCUCAGGUGGACAAUGUAUGACCGUGAUCUGUGAUUACCAUCUCAAGAAGGCUCAAGUUGUCCAUUUGUCAGAGAUUUGAGGCUGGGAUGCCCGACUGGAGCCCGCAUACGUCUAGGAUCCCUAAAUCUUAAUACUCCAAAGAUAGAAGAUUAUGCAUUCUUUGUCUCUGACAACAUUUUCUGGGAAGAUUUGCAAUGUCGCAGGAUGCAGAAGCACCUGAGAAGAGCUUGAUUUUUUUUUUAAGAAGCUGACAUUUGUUUUGAAGUAUAAUUUACGUACAAUAAAAUACACAGAUUUUAAGCGUUCA